CCCUCAAAAAGGAAGACUCGCAGCCCGGUGCCUGGAAAUCAGGGGAGGCUGGCGGCACACAAGAGCCAGGCAGACGCGGGAAAGGGACAAGGGCAGAGAAAGCCAAGCGGUCCCCAGGGGUGAGCUGCCCUGGAGGAGCGCCCGCCGCCCGCACGCCGCCCCGCAAGCCCCGGCCACCGCCACCGGGCGAUCGGUCCCUGCUCCGCUGCCUCCCCGACGCCACACGCCCCCCGCGCGGCUCCCGGGGGCAGCGGCAUCCUCGCGGCUGGCACGCGCGGCCCGGCCAGCCAGCCCCGGGGCUCGGGUGCCCAGCGCCGCCACCACAGCAGCGCCCCCACCCAAACUGCGCCGCCCCCUCCCCCCACGCCCCAUUGUUCCCGGGAGGCCGCGGGCUGCGAGCGCAGGGGACUGAGAACGCUGCGGUGCCCCGACUCACCCGCGAACCCGCACAGGAGCACGAGGCAGAGGAGGAGCGCCAUGGCAGCUGCGUUGCAGAUCAGGAUGUAAUCAAGAUAUAGCUCUCAGCUACUUCUGCAUCACACCUGCCCAUCUGCAUGCUUCCUGCUGUAUGGACUAAAACUGUAGGCAAAUCUCCAGACCUGCUGAAUAGCUCUCGACAUCAAUGUCCGGGAAACAAAAGGGCACUGUAACCAAAUGUGAAGAUCUGAGGGCACACUGCAGCCAGUAGCAGAAAAGUGCCCUGAGUACGGGGCAGGGAUGCCCACGCGAGAGGUAAGAUUAUUACUGUCAAUAGAAGACAGAUCACAAGAAAAUCUUCAUUAUGACAACUGUUUCAGUUACUGCUUUGGUGCUGUGAGGAGACACUAUGACCAUGGCAACUUAUGGAAGAAAGCAUUUCAUUGGAUUCUUACUUAGAGUUUCAGAAGGAGUCAGAUUUAUCGAAAAUAUCUGUCAGUUCUCCUCUUUCCAGUACAAGUAUCGUCGUAAAGGUUGGGAAGGAAGUCACUGGAUUCGUCCAAAUACAGCUCCAGGAGGCACACGUGAGGCACGAACAACAGGAAGCUGCUUCUGCUAACACAUACGUCCUUCCGGGCUGUGCCACCUUCCUUAGCUCUCUCCAGACCCAUCACAGUGCACAGCUCCAUAAAUCUCUCCACAAUAUGAGCAAGAGUGUAAUUUGGAAGGGAUUCAUGGAAAAUGUGUAAGGUUUAUUCAGAGCUCUAUAAAUAGCACAGGUGGCCAUUGUGUAGCUGGCUUCUGCUGACCUCUGCUUUUGUGCUGGCACUGCAGACCUAAUGCAUGCUUUUUCUUUUAACCCUUUUCACCGAACUUAUUAUCUUCAUGUUAAAGAAAAACUAAAGUGAGUGCUUUCAGUAUCCUGUCUAAUUGUUUAAAGUCACUUAUUGUUAGGCAAACAGUAAGUAAAUACAUAAAAGUGAACUGGAUCAAAUUAAUUGGGGGAAAUAUUUUUAGCAUGUUUCCGUCCUAGACUUCUCCUAACCCUGGCUUUCUUAGGCAAUAUGUACAUAAAAUACAGGAAAGUACAAAAUUAAAGUGAGAAUGCCAGCUAUUAUCAGUUAAAAAAACAAACAGUAGCCAGCUCCAGAGUUGAUCUUUCUUUAAUCUGUUUGUUCAAUUAAUAUGAUUUCUAGUUACAGUCAUUUUCCUGCAAUAAGGUCAUUUUUACAUCUGACUUUAUAAAAUUCCAUUGUAUGUAUGCACCACAUGCCUUUAUCAUACAUCACUCGGUGGACAGGUAGGCUGGACCCAUUUCCCAUCUAUCAUGUAUGUUAAGUGUAUCUGUGGCUUAUUGGCUUAGAGUCCCUCGGAUACAUGGGCAGAGUACAGUACCGGAGUCACAUGGUUGUUUCCUGUUAUUUCUGGUUUUAGUAUUUUUUGAGGCACCUCCAUGCUGGUUUCCACAGUGGCUGGCUCUACCAGUUCAUAUCCCUAUCAGUAGUGAAUAAUAAAAUUUCUCCUGUUUGAACACUAACAGCACAGACUCUAAGAGCAACAAUCAAUAAAUGGGACCUCAUGAAACUGAAAAGCUUCUGUAAAGCAAAGGACACUGUCAUCAGAACAAAACGACUGCCUACAGACUGAGAAAGGAUCUUCACCAACCCUAUAUCUGACAGAGGGCUAAUAUCCAGAAUAUGUAAAAAACUCAAGAAGUUAAAAAGCAACAAAUCAAGUAAUCCAAUUAAAAAAAAAUGGAGUAUGGAGCUAAACAGAGAAUUCUCUGUAAAGAGAUAUAGAAUGGCAGAGAAACACUUAGAUAUGCUCAACAUCCUUAUCCAUCAGGGAGACACAAAUCAAAACGACCCUGAUUUCACCUUAUACCCAUCAGAAUGGCUAAGAUCAAAAACUCAAGUGACAAUACAUGCUGGAGAGGUUGUGGAGAAAGGGGAACCCUCCUCCACUGCUGGUGGGACUGGAAACUUGCACAACCACUCUGGAAAUAAAUCUGGCGCUUUCUUAGACAACUAGGAGUAGUGCUUCCUCAAGAUCCAGCUAUACCACUCCUAGGCAAAUAUCCAAAAUAUGCUCAAGUACACAACAAGGAUAUUUGCUCAACCAUGUUCAUAGCAGCUUUAUUUGUAAGAGCCAGAACCUGGAAACAACCCAGAUGUCCCUCAACUGAGGAAUGGAUACAGAAAUUGAGGUACAUUUACACAGUGGAAUACUACUCAGCAAUUCAUGAAAUUUGGAGGCAAAUGGUGGAAUCUACAAAGAUCAUCCAGAGUGAGGUAUCCCAGAAGCAGAAAGACACACAUUGUAUAUACUCACUUAUAAGUGGAUAUUAGACAUAUAGGAUAAACAUACUAAAAUCUGUACACCUAAAGAAGCUAAGCAAGAAGGAGGACCCUGGGUAAGAUGAUCAAUCCUCACUAUGAAAGACAUACAUUGGAAGAAGGAGAAAACAGGAAAAAGGACACGAGUCUCCCACAGAGGGCCUCUGAAAGACUUUAUCCAGCAGUGUAUCAAAGCAGAUGCUGAAGCUCAUAACCAAAGUUUGGACAGAGUGCAGGAAUCUUAUGAAAGAAAGGGGAGAUAGAAAGACCUGGAGGGAACAGGAACUCCACAAGGAGAGCAACAGAACCAAAAAAAUCUGGCCACAGGGGUCCUUUCUGAGACUGAUACUCCAACCAAGGACCAUGCAUGGAGAUAAAGUAGAACCCCUGCACAGAUGUAGCCCAUGGCAGCUCAGUCUCCAAGUGGGUACCCUAGUAAGGGGAACAGGGGCUGUCUCUGACAUGAACUCAGUGGCUGGCUCUUUGAUCAUUUCCCCCUGAGGUGGGAGCAGUCUUACCAGGCCACAGAGGAAGACAAUGCAGCCAGUCCUCAUGAGAUCUGACAGGCUGGGGUCAGAGGGAAGGGGAAAAGGACCUCCCCUAUCAGUGGACUUGGGGAGGGGCAUGGGAGGAGAUGAGGGAGGGAGGAAAGGAGGGUGGAAUUGGGAGGGGAUGAGGGUGGAGCUACAGCUGGGAUAAAAAGUGAAUAAACUGUAAUUAAUAUUAAAAUAUUAAUAAUAAAAUAUUAAAAAUUAAAAUUAAAAAAUUCUCCUGUUUAGUUGCUAAUGAUAUCUUUGCAUCUUAGCUGAAAUAAACUGAGAUCCUUCUAGGAAAGAAUUUAGAGACUUAGUGCUCCUACAGCAUUUCUUUUUUUUUUGGAUUUUUAAAAAUAAUUUUUAUUUUUAUAUAUUAAUUAUAGGUUAUUUACUUUGUAUCCCAGCUGUAGCACCCUCCCCCAUUCCCUCCCAAUUCCACCAUCCCUCACUCAUCUCCUCCCUGCAUUUCCUAACUUUGUUAUUUACAUUAUUAUUUCUUGUGCAUUGUCUGGCCUUUAAUGUUUGUUUUCUUCUCUGUAUUAAAACUUAAAUAGAUAUACAUAAAUAAAUUUUAAAAAGUGAUAUAUGUCUGUUAAAAAUUUUUUUUUAUUUCUUUAUUUUACAUAUGAGUGCUCUAUUUUGCGUAUACAUCUGCAUGACAGAAGAGGGCACCGAAUUUCAUUAUAGAUGGUUGUGAGCCACCAUGUGGUUGCUGGGAAUUGAACUCAGGACCUCUGGAAGAGCAGACAGUGCUCUUAACCUCUGAGCCAUCUCUCCAGCCCUGUUAAAAAAUUUUUAAUUUUUUAUAAUUUGAGUUUAUUUACUUUCUAUCCCAGCUGUAGCCCCCUCCCUCCCUCCCUCCUAAUCCUACCCUUCCUCCAUCAUUUCCUCCCAUGCCCCUCCCCAGACCACUGAUAGGGGAGGUCCUUCUCCCCUUCCCUCUGACCCCAGUCUAUCAGAUCUCAUGAGGACUGGCUGCAUGAGGAUUGUCUUCCUCUGUGGCCUGGAAAGACUGCUCCCACCUCAGGGGGAGGUGAUCAAAGAGCCAGCCACUGAGUUCAUGUAAGAUACAGUCCCUGUUCCCCUUACUAGGGUACCCACUUGGAGACUGAGCUGCCAUGGGCUACAUCUGUGCAGGGGCCUUAUCUCCAUGAAUGACCCUUGGUUGGGGUAUCAGUCUCAGAAAAGACCCCUGUGCCAGAUUUUUUGGUUCUGUUGCUCUCCUUGUGGAGCUCCUGUCCCCUCAAGGUCUUUCUAUUUCCCCUUUCUUUCAUGAGAUUCCCUGCACUCUGCCCAAAGUUUGGUUAUGAGUCUCAGCAUUUGCUUUGAUACCCUGCUGGGUAGUCUUUCAGAGGCCCUCUGUGGUAGGCUCCUGUCCUGUUCCCUGUUUGCUCAACCAUGUUCGCAGCAGAUAUGUUUGUAAUAGCCAGAAUCUGGAAAAAACACAGGUGUUCCUCAACUGAAGAAUGGGUACAGAAAUUGUGUAACAUUUACACAAUGGAGUACUACUCCACAAUUCCACAAUUACAAACAGGGAAAUCAUGAAAUUUGCAGGCAAAUGGUGGGAACCUGAAAAGAUCAUCCUGAAUGAGGUAUCCUAGAAGCAGAGAGACGUACAUAGUAUAUUCUCACUUAUGAGUGGAUACUAGACUAUAAGAUAGGAAAGGAGGACCUUGGGUAAGAUGAUAAAUCCUCACUCAGAAAGGCAAAUGGACAUAGGAAGAGGGAGAAAACAGGAAACAGGACAGGAGCCUACCACAGAGGGCCUCUGAUGUAUGUCUUAAUUGGCUGCUUUUCAUAACAAGUUCAGUGGUCUUGUUAAUGGAUCUGCCUGUGCCUAACAUUUUUCACCUAAGAAAAUAUCUGCUUUUAUUUUUGAAUAAUAUCUCAUCUGACUGGGUAACGAUACAUAUAUUAUCUUUGGAUCAUAUUCUGUUUCCCUUUUGGAGGAUUGUUUCAUUUAUCUAUCAUGGUGAAACAAAUUACUGGAAAUAUCAGCCACCUAAUGCAACAAGCCUUUAUUGUUGUACAUGGUUCCUAAGAAGCAGGAAUCUGGGAGUGGCUUGGCUUCGCAGUCUUGCUAAGGUUUCCCCUUAUGCUGGAUUCCAGCAUAGGGCAAAGGCUGUAGUCCUUGCCAGAUUGCAAGGCCAUUGCAUCCUCCAAGAUGCUCACUCAUGUGUGGGAUUGUGAGCAUGUCUUAGUUUUUUUCUCUAGUUGGCCUUGACAUGGCUGUUGGAUUACCCUCCCGGAUAGGCAGAGAGCACAGCUGGAAGGAAACUGUCAUCCUCCCGGCUCAGUCUCUGGAGUAGCACAAUAUCGUUGUGUGUCACCAGUACUGGCUUCUAAUUACACUGAUUUUUCAUCAUUUUCUUUCUGUUUUAAUUAUGAUUAUAUCUGUCUUAGUUACCAUUCCAUUGCUGUGAAGAGUCACUAUGACCAAGGCAAUUUACAAAAGAAGGCAUUUGCACUGGGUAGACAUUGUAUCAACAUUGCUAGCUGUGGUCUUCUGAGAAGAAGAAACCUUUGUGGGGGAAAAAAAAAAAAAACCUCUGUAAGAGCAGGCUGUGAAUCAGCCUGUGCAUUUUCUUAAUUAGUGAUUGAUGGGGGGGGGGGAGGGGGCAGCUCACUGUGGGUGAUGCUAACUCUAGGUUGGUGGUCCUGGGUUCUAUAAGAAAGCAGGUUGAGCAAGCCAGGAAACAGCAGGCCUCCACAGCCUCUGCACCAGCUCUUGUCUCCAGCUUCCUACCCUGCUUGAGUUUUAUCAUUUCCAUGAUAAACUGCUCUAUGGAACUGUGAGUGAAAUAAACCUUUUCCUCCCCAAGUUGCUAUGGUCACGGUGUUUCAUUACAGCAAUAGUAACCGUAGCUAAGACAACAUUUAAUUAGGGGCUUACUUACAGUUUCAGAGGGUGGGUUCAUGACUAUCGUGGCCAGGAGCCUGGCAGCAGGCAGGCAGGCAGGCAGGCAUGCAUGGUGCUGGAGCAGAACCUAAGUGCUCACAUCUUACUCUGCAAGUUGGAGGCAGAGAAAGCCAGAGACUGGGCCUGGCCUGGGCUUUUGAACCCCAGUGAUACACCUACUCUAACAAGAUCGUACCUUCCGGUUCUUCCCGAAACAGCUCCACCAAUUAGGGACUAGGGGGCAAGAAUCCAAUAUAUAAGCCUAUGGGGGCCAUUUAAGCCACCACAGCCUCUUUCAGUAAUACAGCUUUUUAAAGGUGUCUGAGACCCCGCUGGUAAGGUCAAAGUCUGGCAUUACUGGAUAUCCCUGGAGCUCAGUACCAAAAUAAUGGACUCCCUUCCUUAAAAAGGGUUUCCUCCUCUCCCCCUGACCUGGGGAGACGCCAGAUCCUCUAAGGAGAAUCACAUAGCCCCCAGGGGCUUUGUGACCCUUUCCUGAUAAGAAACCUGUUUGGCCAGAACCUGGGGAUUCCUAGAAAUACUCCAUCCUAUGCUAAUGAGACCGCAGUUUUCAGCAAAUGACUUUUACCUCCACCUGGAGUUCUUCCCCCACCCGUAGGAUAAUUAGGUAUUGUGUUCCCCUUCUUGUGAUAGGACUGUGCAACCGCGUGUAAGUGAAGUAUUCCUAACAUCCUUAGCCCCAUCAAAUCAAACACAUUCACCCUCAAAACCCCUCCCACUGCCCGAGGUUUAUAAGUCUUUGAAUUAAACGGGCUGCCAUCAUCUGAGACUCAUCAUGUACUCAUCAUGGGGAAGAAAAGGCACCCCUACUCCCUGAAGAAUUCGUUGUUUGACUCCUGGGGCUUGGCCUCUGGCCAUGCAUGCAGCCAUAGCGGCCUACGUCACCCCUGAAGCCUGCCCAACCACCGAGAGCUGGCCUGUGUUCAGGCUGUGAACUGACACACCUGGGUCCUCCUGCAUUCUGUCAUCAGCAACUUCACGAAUGGGCUGUAACACUGUGGAAUCAUCACCAGUUUUGGACCGCCCAAGCUUCCAGCUGCAGUCUGGUACCAGCAAUUAAACUGAACUAACUGUAACACCCUGGGGAAAAAGUUAUCUACACCCAGCUGAGAUCUGGGAGCCUUGCUUGUGGACCUCGCCCUGAGGGCUCUAGCCAUGUCUGAGAGGAGCAGAACCUGGGAGUAUGGACCCGCGCAGGAGUGGAGAACAUACUUCCGGGACAAAAUGACAGAGCUGUUUUUAGAUCCUGUGUUUGAGUGUGUGUCCACAGUAUAUAUGCUUGUGUACCAUAUGUGAUCAGAGGAUGUCUCGCGGGAGUUGGAUCUCUCCUUCCACCAUGUGGGGUUUGGAGAUCAAACUCAGGUCAUCAAGCACCGUUACCCACUUACCCAUUUCACAAGUGCUUAUUAGGUUAUCAUUGUUAUUCUCCUGCGUCAGUCUCAUUGUCCUCCUGCCUUUGGUUCCUCUGUGCUGGGAUUACAAGUGUGUGCCACUAUGUUCUGUUUUAUUUUGUAUAAUGUAUGGCCCUUACAUAGUCUAAUAAGAUUUGGUCAGAAAAACCAAAUUGAGAGAAUGCACAAUAUCAUUAAAUAGUUCUUUUUAUGUUUUAAUUCUUCAUGGUCUGAUAUAACACAACUAACUGUUGUCUUUGCCUGGAAUGGUGUCAUACGCCUGUAACUCCAGCAAUAAGGGCAGAGGUAAGUAAUGGGAGUUCAAGGCUACCGCUGGGUCCAUACUGAACCCAGGGCUGCCGUGUACUACGAUGCCCAGUCCAGAAACAUUUUUUAAUUAAAUAAGAAGUAGUUUUAUUUCCUCUGCCCUUGUGAACAUGAUCAGGGAC